rnacentral:rRNA from 1 species
GAUGAACGCUGGCGGCGUGCCUAACACAUGCAAGUCGAACGAAGCACUUUGAAGUUUUCGGACGGAAGAGUGACUGAGUGGCGGACGGGUGAGUAACGCGUGGGUAACCUGCCUCAUACAGGGGGAUAACAGUUAGAAAUGACUGCUAAUACCGCAUAAGCGCACAGCUUCGCAUGAAGCAGUGUGAAAAACUCCGGUGGUAUGAGAUGGACCCGCGUCUGAUUAGCUGGUUGGCGGGGUAACGGCCCACCAAGGCGACGAUCAGUAGCCGACCUGAGAGGGUGACCGGCCACAUUGGGACUGAGACACGGCCCAAACUCCUACGGGAGGCAGCAGUGGGGAAUAUUGCACAAUGGGCGAAAGCCUGAUGCAGCAACGCCGCGUGGGUGAAGAAGUAUUUCGGUAUGUAAAGCUCUAUCAGCAGGGAAGAAAAUGACGGUACCUGACUAAGAAGCCCCGGCUAACUACGUGCCAGCAGCCGCCGUAAGAC